UAUAAAUUGCUGAAAGCUUACCUUGCUUGGGAGAACACUUCCUGGGGAGAUAAGACAAGGGUGGUGGCGACCUUGGCCCGGCAUAAGGUGCAGGUCUCACUGGCCUUCUUGAAAAGCCCAGCUCGGCUCUUUGAGGAUGUUACUUGCCGGACGCAAAGCUUCAUUGCCGUUCCUCUUAUUUCUAUCUUCUUGACGACAUAAGACUGGAUGGUUACAAAUUUGCUUUCUGCUGUCACUGGUUUUAUCAAUCCGUGAGUCUAGAAAUUAAGAGGAUCGAGAACAAGUUGCCGUCAAGAAACAUUCUCAGAGUGUCAAGAAGGGCUUUUCAUGAAGCCAGUGAGACUUACACCUUAUGGGGGUGCGGGGGUCACCAUCAACUCAGUUGGAGAAGUUGUUUAUUCCAUUAUGUUUUAAUGAAUAAUGUACACCAACCUGUUAUGGUUGUAAUCAUAUAAAAAAAUUUAUAGGAUGAUAAACAAUAAUAAAGUGGCUGUUCUUAUCUUA